UACGUAGGGUGCGAGCGUUAAUCGGAAUUAUUGGGCGUAAAGCGCGUGUAGGCGGCUUUGCAAGUCGGGUGUGAAAGCCCUCAGCUUAACUGAGGAAGUGCGCCCGAAACUGCUUAGCUUGAGUACCGGAGAGGAUGGCGGAAUUCCCCAAGUAGAGGUGAAAUUCGUAGAUAUGGGGAGGAACACCGGUGGCGAAGGCGGGUCUCUGGGCAGUAACUGACGCUGAGAAGCGAAAGCGUGGGGAGCGAACAGG
rnacentral:rRNA from 1 species